UACGAAGGGGGCUAGCGUUGCUCGGAAUCACUGGGCGUAAAGGGUGCGUAGGCGGGUCUUUAAGUCAGGGGUGAAAUCCCGGGGCUCAACCCCGGAACUGCCUUUGAUACUGAUAGUCUCGAGUCCGGAAGAGGUGAGUGGAAUUCCGAGUGUAGAGGUGAAAUUCGUAGAUAUUCGGAGGAACACCAGUGGCGAAGGCGGCUCACUGGUCCGGUACUGACGCUGAGGUGCGAAAGCGUGGGGAGCAAACAGG
rnacentral:rRNA from 1 species